rnacentral:rRNA from 1 species
UGCACAGACAACCAGGAUGUUGGCUUAGAAGCAGCCACUCAUUUAAAGAGUGCGUAAUAGCUCACUGGUCGAGUGAUCCUGCGCCGAAAAUUUCCGGGGCUAAAACGUACUACCGAAGCUACGGCAUCAUUUAUGAUGGGUAGGGGAGCUUCGUAUGCAGGCUGAAGCAUGACCGUAAGGACAUGUGGACAGUAUACGAGUGAGAAUGUUGGCAUGAGUAGCGAGACGUGGGUGAGAAUCCCACGGGCCGUAAACCCAAGGUUUCCAGGGGAAGGUUCGUCCGCCCUGGGUUAGUCGGGACCUAAGCCGAGGCCGAAAGGCGUAGGUGAUGGACAACAGGUUGAUAUUCCUGUACCGCCAAUAAGCGUUUGAGAGAUGGAGUGACACAGUAGGAUAAGCUAACCGUACUGUUGGUUAUGUACGGCUAAGCAUUGAGGCAGUCUAAAUAGGCAAAUCCGUUUAGACAAUGCUAGGAUGUGAUGGGGAAGCCCUUCGGGGCGAAGUAGCUGAUUUCACACUGUCAAGAAAAGCUUCUAUCGAGUUUAAAGGCGCCCGUACCGUAAACCGACACAGGUGGGUGAGGAGAGUAUCCUAAGGCCAGCGAGAGAACUAUUGUUAAGGAACUCGGCAAAAUGACCCCGUAACUUAGGGAGAAGGGGUGCCUGUCUAUGACAGGCCGCAGAGAAUAGGCCCAAGCGACUGUUUACCAAAAACACAGGUUUCUGCUAAGUCGCAAGACGAUGUAUAGGAGCUGACGCCUGCCCGGUGCUGGAAGGUUAAGGGGAUCUGUUAGAGCAAUCGAAGCAGUGAACUUAAGCCCCAGUAAACGGCGGCCGUAACUAUAACGGUCCUAAGGUAGCGAAAUUCCUUGUCGGGUAAGUUCCGACCCGCACGAAAGGCGUAACGAUUUGGGCACUGUCUCAACAAUAGACUCGGUGAAAUUGUAAUCCCGGUGAAGAUGCCGGGUACCUGCGACAGGACGGAAAGACCCCAUGGAGCUUUACUGUAGCUUGACGUUGGGUCUUGGUACUACAUGUACAGGAUAGGUGGGAGACUAUGAAGCAUGGACGCCAGUCUGUGUGGAGUCAUCCUUGGGAUACCACCCUUGUAGUACUGGGAUCCUAACCAUAGGCCUUGAAUCAGGUCUUGGAACACCGUCAGGUGGGCAGUUUGACUGGGGCGGUCGCCUCCUAAAAAGUAACGGAGGCGCUCAAAGGUUUCCUCAGCACGGUCGGAAAUCGUGCGAAGAGUGUAAAGGCAAAAGGAAGCUUGAUUGCAAGACAUACAGGUCGAGCAAGGACGAAAGUCGGACUUAGUGAUCCGGUGGUACCGCAUGGAAGGGCCAUCGCUCAACGGAUAAAAGCUACCCUGGGGAUAACAGGCUUAUCUCCCCCAAGAGUCCACAUCGACGGGGAGGUUUGGCACCUCGAUGUCGGCUCAUCACAUCCUGGGGCUGUAGUAG